CUUUACAUGAUUAUGAAAACAAUAUUUUAAAGUCUGAGGAUGUAUAUGCAGGACUAAAUUGUUAAGGAAUUCUUCGUUUAUGAUCAGGAA
rnacentral:snoRNA from 1 species